UACGUAGGGGGCAAGCGUUGUCCGGAUUCAUUGGGCGUAAAGAGCGUGUAGGCGGCCAGGUAGGUCGGUUGUGAAAACUGGAGGCUCAACCUUCAGACGUCGACCGAAACCAUCUGGCUAGAGUCCGGGAGAGGAGAGUGGAAUUCCUGGUGUAGCGGUGAAAUGCGUAGAUAUCUGGAGGAACACCGGUGGCGAAGGCGGCAUUCUGGACCGACAUUGACGCUGAGGAGCGAAAGCCAGGGGAGCAAACGGG
rnacentral:rRNA from 1 species